rnacentral:sRNA from 1 species
UGUGCCUGCGAUGGAGGCAGCCUCGACCAUUACGAUUUGUUUUGCAGGCAACAGGACAAGGUACCCUCUCGUGAUCAGCAAUUUUGCCGAUUCAAAAUCUUUC